AGUGAACGCUGGCGGUAUGCCUAACACAUGCAAGUCGAACGGCAGCACAGUAAUAGCUUUCUCUUACGGUGGGCGAGUGGCGGACGGGUGAGGGAUACAUCGGAAUCUACGUGUUCUUGGGGGGUAACGUAGGGAAACUUACCCUAAUACCGCAUACGGCCUACGGGGGAAAGCAUGGGAUCUUCGGACCUUGCGCGGUUGAAUGAGCCGAUGUCUGAUUAGUUAGUUGGCGGGGUAAAGGCGCACCAAGGCGACGAUCCGUAGCUGGUCUGAGAGGAUGACCAGCCACACUGGAACUGAGACACGGUCCAGACUCCUACGGGAGGCAGCAGUGGGGAAUAUUGGACAAUGGGCGAAAGCCUGAUCCAGCAAUACCGCGUGGGUGAAGAAGGCCUUCGGGUUGUAAAGCACUUUUGUUGGGAAAGAAAAGCAGCAGGUUAAUACCCCGCUGUUAUGACGGUACCCAAAGAAUAAGCACCGGCUAACUUCGUG
rnacentral:rRNA from 1 species